AUUUGUUCUAGAAUCUAACAUUUUCAAUAUUCCUUCCUUCUACUUUUAUGGAAGAAAACAAUGCUCAGAGAGGAAAAGUUAUUUACCAAAAGCCACAUUGCCAUAGAGUUAAUGAGAAACAAUUUGAAUCACAUCUCUUGACUAGGUCAUGUAGUGAUGUUUCCAAAAAUCUAUACUGCAUUCUGCUCCCCUCCCAGACCACUCAUCAAAUAUUUCUCUAUGCUUUAUCCAUUCUGACCCUUUCAACCUAGCAUCUGGAACUUAGUAGGUAAUCCAUUAAAGUUUUAUGAAUGGAAAUG
rnacentral:lncRNA from 1 species